rnacentral:misc_RNA from 1 species
GAUGAAGAACGUAGCGAAAUGCGAUAAGUAGUGUGAAUUGCAGAAUUCAGUGAAUCAUCGAAUCUUUGAACGCACAUUGCGCCCCUUGGUAUUCCAUGGGGCAUGCCUGUUCGAGCGUCAUUUCAACCAUCAAGCCCCAGGCUUGUGUUGGAGCCCUGCGGCUGCCGCAGCCUCCCAAAACCAGUGGCGGGCUCGCUAUCACACCGAGUGCAGUAGUUUACUCUUCGCUCAGGGCGUGUGGCGGGUGCUAGCCGUGAAACCCCCAACUUCUCAAGGUUGACCUCGGAUCAGGUAGGAAUACCCGCUGAACUUAAGCAUAUCAAUAAGCGGAGGA